rnacentral:rRNA from 1 species
CCUACGGGUGGCAGCAGUGAGGAAUAUUGGUCAAUGGGCGCGAGCCUGAACCAGCCAAGUCGCGUGAAGGAUGAAGGUUCUAUGGAUGGUAAACCUCUUUUAUAAGGGAGUAAAGUGCGGGACGUGUCCCGUUUUGUAUGUACCUUAUGAAUAAGGAUCGGCUAACUCAGUGCCAGCAGCCGCGGUAAUACGGAGGAUCCGUGCGUUAUCCGGAUUUAUUGGGUUUAAAGGGUGCGUAGGCGGCCUUUUAAGUCAGAGGUGAAAGUCUGCGGCUCAACCAUAGAAUGGCCGUUGAAACUGGGAGGCUUGAGUAUGGUUGAGGAAGGCGGAAUGCGUGGUGUAGCGGUGAAAUGCUUAGAUAUUAAGCAGAACACCGAUGGCGAAGGCAGCCUGCUAAGCCAUGACUGACGCUGAUGCACGAAAGCGUGGGGAUCAAACAGGAUUAGAUACCCCGGUAGUC